GUGCCAGCAGCCGCGGUAAUACGAAGGUGGCUAGCGUUGUUCGGAUUUAUUGGGCGUAAAGGGUCCGCAGGCGGUUUGAUAAGUCAGGUGUGAAAUCCAACAGCUUAACUGUUGACACGCAUUUGAUACUGUUAGACUAGAGUAUGAGAGGGGUGAGAGGAAUUUCCAGUGUAGGGGUGAAAUCCGUAGAUAUUGGAAAGAACACCGGCCGCGAAGGCGUUUCACUGGCUCAUUACUGACGCUCAGGGACGAAAGCUAGGGGAGCAAACGGGAUUAGAAACCCCUGUAGUCC
rnacentral:rRNA from 1 species